UAAGGAAUAUUGGUCAAUGGACGCAAGUCUGAACCAGCCAUGCCGCGUGAAGGAUGAAGGUCCUCUGGAUUGUAAACUUCUUUUAUCUGGGACGAAAACGGGAUUUUUAUCUCAAUUGACGGUACCAGAGGAAUAAGCACCGGCUAACUCCGUGCCAGCAGCCGCGGUAAUACGGAGGGUGCGAGCGUUAUCCGGAUUUACUGGGUUUAAAGGGUGCGUAGGUGGGCUUAUAAGUCAGUGGUGAAAUCUCCGAGCUUAACUUGGAAACUGCCGUUGAUACUAUAGGUCUUGAAUUAUCUGGAGNUAAGCAGAAUAUGUCAUGUAGCGGUGAAAUGCUUAGAUAUGACAUAGAACACCAAUUGCGAAGGCAGCUUAAUACACAAUCAUUGACGCUGAGGCACGAAAGCGUGGGGAUCAAACA
rnacentral:rRNA from 1 species